rnacentral:rRNA from 1 species
AGAUUAAGUUAUUAAGGGCGCACGGUGGAUGCCUUGGCACUAGAAGCCGAAGAAGGACGUUACUAACGACGAUAUGCUUUGGGUAGCUGUAAGUAAGCGUUGAUCCAGAGAUUUCCGAAUGGGGGAACCCAACAUGAGUUAUGUCAUGUUAUCGACAUGUGAAUUCAUAGCAUGUCAGAAGGCAGACCCGGAGAACUGAAACAUCUUAGUACCCGGAGGAAGAGAAAGAAAAAUCGAUUCCCUGAGUAGCGGCGAGCGAAACGGGAAGAGCCCAAACCAACAAGCUUGCUUGUUGGGGUUGUAGGACACUCUAUACGGAGUUACAAAAGAACAUGUUAGACGAAUCAUCUGGAAAGAUGAAUCAAAGAAGGUAAUAAUCCUGUAGUCGAAAACAUAUUCUCUCUUGAGUGGAUCCUGAGUACGACGGAGCACGUGAAAUUCCGUCGGAAUCUAGGAGGACCAUCUCCUAAGGCUAAAUACUCUCUAGUGACCGAUAGUGAACCAGUACCGUGAGGGAAAGGUGAAAAGUACCCCGGAAGGGGAGUGAAAGAGAACUUGAAACCGUGUGCUUACAAGUAGUCAGAGCCCGUUUAUGGGUGAUGGCGUGCCUUUUGUAGAAUGAACCGGCGAGUUACGAUCUGAUGCAAGGUUAAGCAGCGAAUGUGGAGCCGUAGCGAAAGCGAGUCUGAAUAGGGCGUUGAGUAUUUGGUCGUAGACCCGAAACCAGGUGAUCUACCCUUGGUCAGGUUGAAGUUCAGGUAACACUGAAUGGAGGACCGAACCGACUUACGUUGAAAAGUGAGCGGAUGAACUGAGGGUAGCGGAGAAAUUCCAAUCGAACUUGGAGAUAGCUGGUUCUCUCCGAAAUAGCUUUAGGGCUAGCCUCAAGUGAUGAUUAUUGGAGGUAGAGCACUGUUUGGACGAGGGGCCC